GCCGAACCGUGCGAACGUUAUUCGGAAUCACUGGGCUUAAAGCGCGUGUAGGCGGGCCGGCACGUCGGUCGCUGAAAGCCCCCGGCUCAACCGGGGAACGGGCGCCGAUACGCCCGUCCUGGAGGGACGUAGGGGGACCUGGAACAUCCGGUGGAGCGGUGAAAUGCGUUGAGAUCGGAUGGAACGCCCGUGGCGAAAGCGAGGUCCUGGACGUUUUCUGACGCUGAGACGCGAAAGCCAGGGGAGCGAACGGG
rnacentral:rRNA from 1 species